rnacentral:rRNA from 1 species
UUUACGUCCCCUCCCUUUGUACACACCGCCCGUCGCUACUACCGAUUGAAUGGCUCAGUGAGGCGUCCGGACUGGCCCAGGGAGGUGGGCAACUACCACCCAGGGCCGGAAAGCUCUCCAAACUCGGUCAUUUAGAGGAAGUAAAAGUCGUAACAAGGUCUCCGUUGGUGAACCAGCGGAGGGAUCAUUACCGAGUUAUUCAACUCAUCAACCCUGUGAACAUACCUAAACGUUGCUUCGGCGGGAAUAGACGGCCCCGUAAGACGGGCCGCCCCCGCCAGAGGACCCUUAACUCUGUUUCUAUAAUGUUUCUUCUGAGUAAAACAAGCAAAUAAAUUAAAACUUUCAACAACGGAUCUCUUGGCUCUGGCAUCGAUGAAGAACGCAGCGAAAUGCGAUAAGUAAUGUGAAUUGCAGAAUUCAGUGAAUCAUCGAAUCUUUGAACGCACAUUGCGCCCGCCAGUAUUCUGGCGGGCAUGCCUGUUCGAGCGUCAUUACAACCCUCAGGCCCCCGGGCCUGGCGUUGGGGAUCGGCGGAGCCCCCCGUGGGCACACGCCGUCCCCCAAAUACAGUGGCGGUCCCGCCGCAGCUUCCAUCGCGUAGUAGCUAACACCUCGCGACUGGAGAGCGGCGCGGCCACGCCGUAAAACACCCAACUCUUCUGAAGUGACCUCGAAUCAGGUAGGAAUACCCGCUGAACUUAAGCAUAUCAAUAAGCGGAGGAAAAGAAACCAACAGGGAUUGCCCCAGUAACGGCGAGUGAAGCGGCAACAGCUCAAAUUUGAAAUCUGGCUCUCGGGCCCGAGUUGUAAUUUGUAGAGGAUGCUUUUGGUGAGGUGCCUUCCGAGUUCCCUGGAACGGGACGCCAUAGAGGGUGAGAGCCCCGUCUGGUUGGACGCCGAACCUCUGUAAAGCUCCU